ACUGUCCCUCUCUCUCUCUCUCUCUCUCUCUCUCUCUCUCUCUCUCUCUCUCUCUCUCUCUCUCUCUCUCUCUCUCUCUCUCUCUCUCUCUCUCUCUCUCUCUCUCUCUCCCUCUCUCUCUCUCUCUCUCUCUCUCUCUCUCUCUCUCUCUCUCUCUCUCUCUCUCUCUCUCUCUCUCUCUCUCUCUCUCUCUCUCUCUCUCUCUCUCUCUCUCUCUCUCUCUCUCCCUCUGUCUCUGUCUCUGUCUCUGUCUCUGUCUCUGUCUCUCUCUCUCUCUCUCUCUCUCUCUCUCUCUCUCUCUCUCUCUCUCUCUCUCUCUCUCACUGUCUCUCUCUCUCUCUGUCUCUCUCUCUCUCCUCUGUCUCUGUCUCUGUCUCUCUCUCUCUGUCUCUCUCUCUCUCUCCUCUCUCUCUCUCUCCCUCUCUCCCUCUCUCCCUCUCUCCUCCUCCCUCCCUCCCUCCCUCGACCCCUCUUUGAUCACAGAACAGAUAAUCUUUAACGUUGAAUAGCUCCCAUUGUAAAAUAGAUAUAAAAAGCGAUGUGACUAACUGCGCCGUGGCCUGUUAUGAAAGGCCUCCUCGUACACGCCCCGGGCUACGGCCAGAGGCUGAGAAGUGUUCUGUUUAUCGUAGAGUCCUCCCAGUGCCAAACGACCACUGCUGAUUCACAGCCCCUAACAUUUCCCAGUAGUCGUGUUCAUUUCAUGAGGGCCGGCCGUACCAUAUUGUACAGCACAGCGGGGUGCAUUCACACAGGGCCUGCACCUCGAAGCGAUGACGAUGGGUGGGCUCGUGUUCCGCCUCCGCCCACCGGGACUUCCCCUCUCCUGCACGCUCCGCUCUCUGUGUGAACUCUUGAGUGGUUUUUCGGUGUGGAUAUCCUGUGUGUGGAGCCGUCCCUAACCUCCCCACCAAGGGCUGGUCCGACUCUUUAGGACCAUCCUGUCUGUGGAGUGCCCCCCCCCCCCCUUUUCCUCGCCAAGGGCUGGUCCACCUCGUUCUCCUCCUCUGCCAACCAUCCCAACUGUAAAGAACCCGAUAAAGCACUUUAGCCGAUCACAAUAAGACGAGACCUUUUGCCACAAAAAAAACGUUGCUUUGUACCUUCUCACGUUUUUUUUUCCCUUGCCUGUGACCUCUCCUCCGUUCUGGUGUUCCCGAGCCCUGAUCCUCACCGCGACAGGACAGUGUUCUGCAGAAUCGCACCUCAACACUCUCUCUCCCACGGCCCGCAGGUAAGGACAGAGGAGGCAGGAGGCGAGGGAAGGAGAGAGGAGGGAGCUUCAGACUGCCA
ensembl:lncRNA